rnacentral:rRNA from 1 species
AACGUAGGAGACGAACGUUAUCCGGAGUUACUGGGCGUAAAGGGCGUGUAGGCGGCCUUUUAAGUCCUGCGUGAAAUCCUGCGGCUCAACCGCAGACGGUCGUGGGAAACUGGAAGGCUAGAGUGCGGGAGAGGAGAGUGGAAUUCCCGGUGUAGCGGUGAAAUGCGCAGAUAUCGGGAGGAACACCAGUGGCGAAGGCGGCGACCUGGGCUGAUACUGACGCUGAGGUGCGAAAGCGUGGGGAGCAAACAGG